CUAACUGGCGGGGGCUCACCACCAACUCCCCUCACCCCAUCUGAGGAGCUGGCUCUGUCCCUUAAUAAAGGGCGACCAAUGGUUGCUGGCAUUCCAGGGGGCAGUUCAUCGCACACGCCAUGCACCACAAGUAAUGGUGAAAAAUGGUGAAAUAUACUGAUGGACGUAUUGUAUUAUUGGACCCUCCAGAAAGAACAGUCUGUCACAGUUGAUGAAGAUGAUGAAGAUGACGAUGAAGAGACCACA